rnacentral:lncRNA from 1 species
GGAAGUUAGGAUCGGCUUCCCCGCCUUCCCUCCAGACUGCCUGUCUCUCCAGAAGGAAGCUUGUGUGAGGACGUGGAGCUGUAGGAGCCCUCAGCUGGGCCUCUGCUUUCUUCUCUGAGAAGCCCAGCCUGGCCCCAGGAGAAGGAGCUGGAAAACUUCAGGCCUGGCUUGGGCUGCCAUGAGGAAAGUGGAUAAGGCUGCAGCCCGGAUUGUUUCCUGGAGACGACGAUCGUGGAGAUGGUUAUGCCUGACCUUUGUACAGCACUUCACAGUUGGCACAGAGUUUCCGCAUGUGCCGUACCGUCACAACGCUGUGUUUUGGGAAGCACAGGCAAGUUUAGACCGUCGGGGAUCAGAAUAUGCCACCCUUGAAUCCGCCCCUUGAGCACAAAGAUCAUUUUCAGCUGAAGAAAACUCAGAAACAGCAGAAAUCAAAAGAAGACUCUUGGCCCUGCCCCCUAUUUGCCCAUAUGCAGAACAUAAAUUUCCAUCUGUCGGGGUAUCUCCCUCCCCUGUACCAGGAAGAGGGGGACCUAGGAAGACACUUCCUAGACUCGAUCGCAGGGGACGACUGUAGACUCGCAAGCCCAGAGAGGAGAGCUUCAUAGCAAACCUCGCUAAAGCUGCCCUUAGCCUCCAUCGGCUUCCCCAUAUGUUUACCUUCCCAUGUUUGCCCACCCUAAAAGCCUAAGCCUCUUUUCCUCUGUCUUGUCACUUCUCUACAAAUUUGAUGUUCCUUGUUAAGAUGCUGUAUCAGCCAGAGUUCUCACCACCCCUCGGUGUCACUCAUCACUGAGUUUCUCCUGCCUGUUUGCACACAUUAUUAACUGGUUUUUCUCUUGUUAAUCUAUCUUUUGUCAUUUUAAUUUCCUGGGCCCCAGCCGGAGAACCUAGGAGAGUAGAGGAGAUUUUAUUCCUCCUCUACAGAGGAAAGAGAUGAAGAAACUCUACAGAGAGAGAGACGAAGAAACUGACACUCGCAGAGACAAACUGGCUGCCCCCCAACCUCCCGGACGCCAAUCUCAGUCUCCUGACUCCUCCCCCAUCUCAGAGGCCCCAAGACAAUGGGAGAGAGUUAUUUCAUCACGUCUCAGGCAGCCUGUGACUUUCAAAAUCCUUGGAGAGAACUCUCUUAGUUUUCUGUUUUGUUUUUAAUUAACUAGUUAAUUCGAAUUUAUUUUUCAGAGCACCUGCCACGUGUCAGGGAGCUCACCACUGCCGAGAGGAGGAGACCCCACAAAUGCAGGCCACUGCAGUUCAGUGGACGAGAGGCAUGAUCAGGAACAGGCUGCUCCAGCAGCAUCAAGUUACUCUGCCAAUAACCUCCCAGAGGGAGUGACUCAGCAGCUGACCAAAAAGAUAAGUCGGAGGGACACAGGCAAAGGGAGCAAGAGGACAGGGCUCGGGCUCGAGGACGCCUCACCUGCAAAGACCACGAUGCAAAGAGCCAUGCAAAGGGCUUGCAUAUGCUGCUUCCUACUGUGUGUCAGGCCCCAUGUGAGGUAUUGGAGUGCAGAGCUGAAUAAGACACAGUCUGGCCCUCACGGAGCCUACAGCCUGAGUGGAGGAGCCCAGGACACGAGCCCACCCCAGGAGUGGUUCUUGGCACCUCCUCCAAGAAGCCCUCACUGCUGACUCCACCACCCAGUUACUCCAUCUCCCAGAUCGCAUGGAAUCCCACGUCCAACCGCAGAAGCAUCCUUCAUCAGGCCCAUUUUCGAGCACCUGUAGUUGGCAGACCUCCAGAAUUAACACUUAUGGUAUCUGAUUCGGUCACUGGGACUGGACAACCUCUGAGGACCCAGACCUUCCUGGGUCUGGAAGGCCUGCCGUUGUCCUGAUGUGAUGCAGACUUGUCAGCACGUCCUCUGCCUC